rnacentral:rRNA from 1 species
AGUGAACGCUGGCGGUAGGCCUAACACAUGCAAGUCGAACGGCAGCACAGUAAGAGCUUGCUCUUACGGGUGGCGAGUGGCGGACGGGUGAGGAAUACAUCGGAAUCUACUUUUUCGUGGGGGAUAACGUAGGGAAACUUACGCUAAUACCGCAUACGACCUACGGGUGAAAGCAGGGGAUCUUCGGACCUUGCGCGAUUGAAUGAGCCGAUGUCGGAUUAGCUAGUUGGCGGGGUAAAGGCCCACCAAGGCGACGAUCCGUAGCUGGUCUGAGAGGAUGAUCAGCCACAAUGGAACUGGGACACGGUCCAGACUCCUACGGGAGGCAGCAGUGGGGAAUAUUGGACAAUGGGCGCAAGCCUGAUCCAGCCAUACCGCGUGGGUGAAGAAGGCCUUCGGGUUGUAAAGCCCUUUUGUUGGGAAAGAAAAGCAGCAGGUUAAUACCCCGCUGUUCUGACGGUACCCAAAGAAUAAGCACCGGCUAACUUCGU